UACAGAGACUGCAAGCGUUAUUCGGAUUCACUGGGCGUAAAGGGUGCGCAGGCGGCCGUGUGUGUCAGGUGUGAAAGCCCGGGGCUUAACCCCGGAAUUGCGCCUGAAACUACAUGGCUAGAGCAUUGGAGAGGGUAGCGGAAUUCACGGUGUAGCAGUGAAAUGCGUAGAUAUCGUGAGGAACACCAGAGGCGAAGGCGGCUACCUGGACAAUUGCUGACGCUCAGGCACGAAAGCGUGGGGAGCGAAAGGG
rnacentral:rRNA from 1 species